rnacentral:lncRNA from 1 species
ACCGAUUUUGGGUAAGGGAGAACACCAUUUAAGCUAUCAAGGUUCGGCCAUGGUAUCCUUGGGUGCAUGGUGAGUAUUUUUGUUCCAUUUUUAAUGAUUUUUAUGUUUUUGGAGUCGUUGCAACUAGCACUAGCUAACCCGUGUCUUCGAUUUCAAAACUGUUAAAGAUUUUGAUAGUUGCCAUUGAUGAGCUUAUGUGUUCUUUAAUUUUUAAUGGUCAAAUAUGAAUAUUUGAUGUUAGAUUUUCAUAUUUUAUAAAGUGAUUUUUGAUGAAAAUGUCAAAUAGGGAUUAAAUUGAGAAAUGUGUAAAUUGAGUGGUUAAAAUGUGAAAUAAAUGCAAGUUUUGGGCUGCUAGGGACCUUUAAUAAAUUCGGCUAAGCAUGGGUGUAUUGAAAUUUUGUGUAAUUUGUGAUUUUGUGAAAUAGGGACUAAAUUGUAAAAAUAUGAAAUGUCAGGGGCUAAAGUGAAAAAUUACCAUUUAUGUGUUUUUGGAUGAAAUUGAAUGAAUAUGUCUUUAAAUAAGUUAAAUUUGAAUUUAUUUAGAUCAAGAAAGUAAGAAAUCGGAUUUGGAUCGAGGAAAAUCGAAAGUUGUCGAAUAGUCAUUCCGAUCCGUUCGUUUCCAAAUUAUGUAAGUUCAUAAGUAAAUAAAUGUUUUUGACUUUAAAUGUAAAUGUUAUAUACGUGGCCGAAUUUGAUUAAUUAUAGAUAUAUAUAUUGUCGAAUUUGAUUGUUUUAUACAUUGCCGAAUUAAUUCGUAUAUAAUUAUACAUUGCUGAAAUUUAUUUGUAUAUGGUUAUACAUUAUCGAAAUUGAUUUGUAUAUGAAGAUAAGUUGCUGAACUGAUUCGUAUAUAAUUAUACAUUGCUGAAACUUAUUUGUAUAUGGUUAUACAUUAUCGAAAUUGAUUUGCAUAUGAAGAUAAGUUGCCAAAUUGAUUUGUAUAUGAUUAUACUUUGCUGAAAUUAAUUUGUAUAUGGUUACACAUUGUUGAAAUUGAAUUGUAUAUGGAUAUAAGUUGCCGAAUUAAUUCGUAUAUUGCUGAAAUUUAUUUGUAUAUGGUUAUACAUUAUCGAAAUUGAUUUGUAUAUGAAGAUAAGUUGCCAAAUUGAUUCGUAUAUGAUUAUACUUUGAUGAAAUUAAUUUGUAUAUGGUAUACAUUAUUGAAAUUGAAUUGUAUAUGGAUAUAAGUUGCUGAAUUAAUUCGUACAUGAUUAUACAUUGCCGAACUUGAUUUAUAUCUGGUUAUACAUUGCCAAAUUAAUUCGUAUAUGAUUAUACAUUGCCGAACUUUAUUCAUAUAUGGUUAUACAUUGCCAAAUUGAUUUGUAUAUGAUUAUACAUUGUCGAAUUUGAUUCGUAUAUGAAUAUAUAUAUGGUUGAAUUGAUUUGAGCAUUGGAUGACUGGUUUCGUGUAUGAAAUGAUUUAAUUACAAAGUCGAUAGCUCUAAAUGAACCUUAGAAAAUGUAUUUGAUAUUGAUGACAUGAUAUUAUGACUUCGGAGGUGUGAUUUCGUGUAAGACUAUGUCUGGGACCUUGGCAUCGAAGUAAAAAAACGUGUAAGACCAUGUCUGGGACAGUGACAUCGAUAUGCGUUAACAUGUAAGACCAUAUCCGGGAUAUGGCUUUAUACGAGCUUUAUAUGAUUUAUGUGUGCUCUUAACAAAUCCGAAUGUGAAUUUCAGUUGAAUGGUUCAGGUAUGUGUGAAGUUAUAUGUUUAUGAAAUAUAAAGGUAAGUUUAGUACUUAAUGUAAUAAUAUGAAUUUAUAUGAGUUAGUUAUAUGUUUAUGAAUUUAUUUGAGUUGAAUUGAAUUAUAAAUAUCAUUGAAAUGAUUUAUUUGCUUAUGGCUUACUAAGUUUCCAAAGCUUACUUUGUGCAUUCUUCCACUGUUUUAUAGAUUAUCGAAGCUAGCUCGUCAUCACACUAUCGAUCAUCUUGUUAGUACUUUUGAAGCUUUGUAUAUAUGGUAUAUGGCAUGUAUAGGCUAGUGAACUUUUGGUAUAUUUUGAAUUAUAAUUCUAGCCAUGUGAGUUGGCUUGGAAAUGGUAUAUAUGAUAGAGUUGUGUUUAGGAUUAUGUUAUGAGAUGAAUCAUGGUAAUUGAAGUGUAUAUAUAUUAGCUAUGUGUUUAGCAUGCUUAUUAUGAUAGGUGAAGUUUUUUAUGAUUAAAUGAUG